rnacentral:lncRNA from 8 species
AUGUCUGAUGCAGUCAUGCACUACCAUCUUGGAUGGUACUUGGUUCUUGGAUGCCUACUACUGUAUUUACUUGGAGCUUGUCUGGAGGGACAAAGGAUACCAAAGUCAAAGAGGAAAGAGGAUGUGUUUGGGCAGAGUGGGAGUCGGCGUGGAGAUGGGACAUGGGGUCCCCGCCAGAAAGGCUCGGUGGGACGAGGGGACGUCUUUGUGGUGGACGAGGACACAGACCUGGCUGAUCCAAACCUCCAGGGGGGACACCUCAACCCUCAGUGGAAACCCAGCAGGCAGGGCCCCAAAGGCAGCCACGAGGGCAAGCCUGAGCCCUCCUCCAAACUCUUGGAGGAGAACAUCACCACGAACAAGAAGACGAAAGACUCUGGAGGGAGGGGCGUCGGCCUGUUUCCCGCAAAACCCUUGGAUGACAUCAUUAUUGAUUUGGACCCUGGGUCUUCCCCGAAGAAGCCCUCAGUGGAGUUUCCCCAUGUCGUUAAGACUCAGAUAGAGACCCCCCUUGACCAGGAGCACCCAGACUCUAACCUGCUGAGAGAGGAGGUGGAGCGGCCUCAGACCCCUUCUCAGACUGCCUUCGCCCCCACCUCAGAGCCCCCUGCCCCCCCUGUGGAGGCUGUAACUGAGGAGAGGAGACCCACCACACACAUCCCCACCCAGCCUGACCCAGACCCUGACCGGGCUAUCACUGUGGAACGAGGACCAGAACGCCCACGCACAGUGACCAUCGUACACAGGGAAGGGGAUCUGGUUCUGGGCUCUGAUGGCCAGAUGUAUAGGCUCCAGAGAGGGCCCCCAGGCCGAAUGGGGCCCCCAGGAAAGGAGGGCUUUCCCGGUCACGCUGGCUUACGUGGGUUUAAAGGUGACAGGGGCCAGCUGGGGCCUGAGGGGCGUGCAGGGCGACAGGGGGAUCCAGGCCCCCCCGGCCCACCUGGUCUGCCGUCCUUCUACCUGUGGAAGAACACUAUUGAGGAGUGGGCUGCUUUUCGGGUGAGUUGA